AUUGACUUUGUGUGAAGUGCUUAGUAAAUGCAUGUCAAGUCGAUGAAUGAAAUAAUGAGUAAUGGAAACAGGGUUGGCUGCUGGAUCAAGAUACCUUGACUGGUGCCCCAGGUCUACCAGCGACCACUGUGUGAUCUUGGCCAGGACACGUAAUCUCUCUUAGCCUCAGAUGUCUCAUCACCAAUAGAAUGGUAAUGAUGACACCUAUGCUACCUGCCUCACAAGGGUGCAGUGAGGACCCAAUGACAUCAUUUAUGGAAAAGCGCCUCAUAAGCUGAAAAGGAGGAUGCACACACCCUCACACCAAAAAUCUACUGGACUGAUUGGACCUCAAAGCUCUCACUGCUGAGCAAGGUCCCAGAUGCUUUUAAGACAACACUGAUCUCUUCAAUACAAUGUCUACGAAUUGCCUUUGAUGCACGGAAUAUCUGAGUAGCUGCUGAGUACUGUGCUGGAUUCUGCAGUGAGAAGCAACGUCAAAACUGUAAUGAAGGGUGCUGUGGACUGGUCCCUGGUUGCUGUUCUUGACUUUGUCCUCACCUUCUCCCCUGGUCACCUCAUCAACAUCCACAUCUCAACAACCACCUUGAUGCUGAGGAUUCUCAAGCCUACUCUCCUGGUCCACAACAAAACCGGACAUUCUUUCCCUUGGAUGUUGCCUCUGAAGUUCAGACAUACUCCCAACAUCUCCUCCUGAGUGUCUUGCAGUCCUGUCCCAUUCAAUGUCUCCUCCCCAUGCCCGCCCCAUGGUUGUUGCUUCUCUCCUCAUCUCCCCAUCUUGGCAGUGACACCACCACUAACUAGUUGACUAAGCAAAACCUUAGAAAUCAUCCUUGAUGCCUUUCUUGUCCCACCUGCCCCAGUCAUCAGUUAAUUAUUCCCGUAGGUUCUGGUUCCUUAACCAGCUCAUAUCCCUCCCUCUCUUCCUAUUUCCACCAAUUUUGCCCCAGUUCCUUCCUUAGCAUCUCUCACCUGGACCCUGCAUCAGCCUCUUACUCUACCUUAUGGAAAAAGACUCUUAGAGUCUUUCCUUUCAAUUUAUCCUCCAUGCUGGAGCUAAGAGCAGUGGGC
rnacentral:lncRNA from 13 species